rnacentral:lncRNA from 1 species
GUUUAAAAACUGGAACUCGCCAGCUGUGUUUACUGGCUAGCUAGCUCAGUCCAACAUAGCCAACUGGUAGCUGAGCUAGCUAGUAAGGUACUUUGCUAACGUUAGUUAAAAAGUCGAUUAACAAUGACUAGUAGUAGCCACAAUUUGAAACCAGGAACUUUCAAUUGCCACAUUAGGGACGUCAACGACGUUGGUUGACAAAAGUAGUUCAGCAAGUUAGCUAGCUGGCGAGCAAGCUAUAUCUGACACUUUGGGAAUCACUUGACUAGGCCGAUUGCUGGCCUGAUCACGCCAGCCCUUCGCCGCCGUAGACCGUGCACCACCGGUGUAGUGGCUCGAGACAUGGGUUGUUACAGGCAGCAGCUCCAGAAAGGGUGUGCUCCCCUGAAUUCUGCCCCACCAGCUUUGUGUCCCGAAUGGCAUGCAGAUGCAACUUUGAAAGUAAAAGUGAGGCAGACCAUAAUGGACAUUGCGAUGGAUUUGUGGUGGCUGAGCUGGAAGAGAUGGGUCUCUCAUGGGAUACUGCACAUACUGUGGCCAAAGACCGACUCCAGUGGUAGAACUCAGAAGAUUGUUGCGGCCUUAUGUCCCACCUAGGA